GAUGAACGCUAGCGGCAGGCCUAAUACAUGCAAGUCGAACGGUAACAGGUCCUUCGGGACGCUGACGAGUGGCGGACGGGUGCGUAACGCGUAUGCAACCUACCUUUCAAUGGGGGAUAGCCUGGAGAAAUUCAGAUUAACACCGCAUAAUACUCCAUUAUCGCAUGAUAGAGGAGUUAAAUAUUUAUAGUUGAAAGAUGGGCAUGCGUGACAUUAGUUAGUUGGUGAGGUAACGGCUCACCAAGACUACGAUGUCUAGCUGGUCUGAGAGGAUGAUCAGCCACACUGGCACUGAGACACGGGCCAGACUCCUACGGGAGGCAGCAGUAGGGAAUAUUGGACAAUGGGCGCAAGCCUGAUCCAGCCAUGCCGCGUGGAGGAAGAAUGCCCUCUGGGUUGUAAACUUCUUUUCUGCAGGAAUAAACCUAUCCUAUACGGAUAAUUGAAUGUACUGCAGGAAUAAGCACCGGCUAACUCCG
rnacentral:rRNA from 1 species